CAGCGCAUUUUAGUUUUUUCACCAUUAGUUUAAAAAAUAGCCUCCUUCAGUGAACAGCCACCUGGCACGAACCAAAAACAACCGCAUUCUCUCCUUCCCUCUUUUCUUUUGUUUUCGUUUCUCUUUCUUUUUCUGUCUCUCUUUGCGUGCUGCAAGAUAAAUGGAAAGGGCCACGAGGAAACCUGAAAAACCGGGCGGGCAUCCGUGCAUCUCCAUGACCAGACUGUGAACUUUUCCUCGCAGGCCUCGGUAGUAAUGGCUGCUGUCGGUGCCGCCUGCGCAGCGGCCCGUCGCGGUGAUAUAUGGGGGGGUCAGUGAGCCGGCACGGCACGGCUCUGCUCGGGGGGAGAGACCAAGCCACCGGUUCCAAGGCGCAUGGGGACGCGAGGACGGCACACCCAGAGUCUGCUGCUGAAGCACCGUAACUCACGCAGGUGGAGGCUGUCACUGGGAUUACUUGGCUCGACGUGACCGUGCACUGGAGCCUCAUCCAACCUUGCCUUUCGCCACCACACCUGAACUCUCCCCUGACCCGGGCAGUGGCACACACAGUCGAGUGGAUGAUCUAAACCAGAGGCCCUCAGACUAACUUUUUCACAUUUUGCUGAACUUUUUUUUUUUUUUACAGAAUUGCUUUUUGCACAAAUGUAGAAGUUGAUUGAUCAUGUUUUAAAUCUAAUCUAUUUUAGCAUUAAACAAAUGUUUCAGAGGUAUUCACACAAAUCAAGGCUCCUUAUCACUGUCAGCGCAGAGGAGUACGAGGCGCAGACCUCUGGAUGUUGGCCAGUCGGCGGUCCAUAUCUUCCCACAAUGUUGACACUCGGAGCUCUUAACAGCCAGGCUUGGGUUACCGAUACACUCAGCCGAAGAUAACUCUUUCUGCGAGGUUUACACCGGCCAACAUCAAGGCUAAUGCGAAAUUCAACGCCUUAAGCAGAUAGGAGCCAUCUCUCAUGGACGCAGAGCAGCACUGGGGCGGAUUAUGGGACUGGAGAUCUGUGCUUAUAUAGGUGGUUGUAAUAAAGCUAUUUGAUUUUCA